rnacentral:lncRNA from 1 species
UGGUUUUCUUUGAGAUGAAAACGAUUUUCUACCUCUCGUGGUAGCGUGUUUUAAAGAAAAAGGGUUUCCGUGUGGAAACGGUUUUAAAAAAAGUUUUCUCGUAGUUUUCGUCAAUUAGUAUUUCAAAAUGAAUUCCCGGAUAGGAAACAUUUUAAACAAAUAGUUGUGGAUUUAUGAUUAAACUCUCAAUGUAAACCUAUAGUGAAUGGUGUAUGAAUAUAUAAAUGUAUGAAUGUUUGUAGUUCAGUUGUGGUGGUUGUAUCCCGUCAUGUAUCUUGUACUUGUGUGACACUGUGCAA